rnacentral:rRNA from 1 species
UACGUAGGUGACAAGCGUUGUCCGGAUUUACUGGGCGUAAAGAGCGCGCAGGCGGUCGAUCAAGUCGAGUGUGAAAGCCCCCGGCUCAACUGGGGAGGGUCAUUCGAUACUGAUCGACUCGAAGGCAGGAGAGGGAUGUAGAAUUCCAGGUGUAGCGGUGAAAUGCGUAGAUAUCUGGAGGAAUACCGGUGGCGAAGGCGGCAUCCUGGACCAUUACUGACGCUGAGGCGCGAAAGCUAGGGGAGCAAACGGG